GGAGAAAUGUCCGAGUGGCUUAAGGAGCUUGUCUCGAAAACAAGUGUAUUAUAGGAAUAGUACCAGGGGUUCAAAUCCCCUUUUCUCCG
rnacentral:tRNA from 1 species